rnacentral:rRNA from 1 species
AAUCUGCCAGAUAGCCAGCAUGUCUAGUACUUGCCGCAUUAAGGCGAAACCGCGAAUGGCUCAUUAAAUCAGUUAUGGUUCCUUGGAUCGUACCUCACUACUUGGAUAACUGUGGCAAUUCUAGAGCUAAUACAUGCAGCAGAGCUCCGACCUUCGGGGACGAGCGCUUUUAUUAGACCAAAACCAAUCGGACCUCGCGUCCGUCUCUUGUGGUGACUCUGAGUAACUUUGGGCUGAUCGCACGGGCCCGUCCCGGCGACGUAUCUUUCAAGUGUCUGCCUUAUCAACUUUCGAUGGUAGGUUACGCGCCUACCAUGGUCGUAACGGGUAACGGGGAAUCAGGGUUCGAUUCCGGAGAGGGAGCCUGAGAAACGGCUACCACAUCCAAGGAAGGCAGCAGGCGCGCAAAUUACCCACUCCCGGAACGGGGAGGUAGUGACGAAAAAUAACAAUACGGGACUCUUUUGAGACCCCGUAAUUGGAAUGAGCACACUCUAAAUCCUUUAACGAGGAUCCAUUGGAGGGCAAGUCUGGUGCCAGCAGCCGCGGUAAUUCCAGCUCCAAUAGCGUAUAUUAAAGUUGUUGCGGUUAAAAAGCUCGUAGUUGGAUCUCAGUUCCAGACGGGUGGUCCGCCUACCGGCGGCUACUGCCUGUUCUGAACAGCCGGCCGGUUUCUCUUGAUGAUCUUCACCGGUUGUCUUGGGUGACCGGCAAGUUUACUUUGAAAAAAUUAGAGUGCUCAAAGCAGGCGCGACGCCUGGAUAAUGGUGCAUGGAAUAAUGGAAUAGGACCUCGGUUCUAUUUUGUUGGUUUUCGGAUCACGAGGUAAUGAUUAAGAGGGACAGACGGGGGCAUUCGAUUGCGACGCUAGAGGGAAAUCUGACUCCGAUCCC